rnacentral:rRNA from 1 species
UACAGAGGGUGCGAGCGUUUAAUCGGAAUAACUGGGCGUAAAGGGUGCGUAGGUGGUUUUGUUAUGUCGUUUGUGAAAUAUCCGGGCUUAACCUGGAUGCUGCGAACGAAACUGGCAGACUAGAGUAGAGUAGAGGUAAGUGGAAUUCCCGGUGUAGCGGUGAAAUGCGUAGAUAUCGGGGAGGAAUACCGGUGGCCGAAGGCGGCAUCCUGGACCGACAUUGACGCUGAAC